GAUGAACGCUGGCGGCGUGCCUAAUACAUGCAAGUCGAGCGAACAGACUAUAAGCUUGCUCCUCAGACGUUAGCGGCGGACGUGUGAGUAACACGUUGAUAACCUACCUAUCAGACUGGGAUAACGGCAUGAAACUGGAGCUAGUAACGUAUAAUAUAUUGAACCUCAUUGUUCCAUAGUGAAAGACGGAUUUGCGGUCACUUAUAGAUGCAUCCUCGCCGCAUUAGCUAGUGGGUAAGGUAAGGGCUUACCAAGGCAACGAAGAGUAGCCGACCUGAGAGGGUAAUCGGCCAAACUGGAACGGAGAAACGGCCCAGACUCCUCGGGGAGGAAGCAGUAGGGAAUCUUCGGAAAUGGGCGAAAGCCUGACGGAGAAACGCCGGGUGAGUGAUGAGGGUUUUGGGAUGGAAAAACUCUGUUAUUAGGGAAGAACAAAUGUGGAAGUAAAUAUGCACGUCGUGACGGUACCUAAUCAGAAAGCCACGGCUAACUACGUG
rnacentral:rRNA from 1 species